rnacentral:rRNA from 1 species
UACGUAGGGUGCAAGCGUUAAUCGGAAUUACUGGGCGUAAAGCGUGCGCAGGCGGUUUUGCCAGACCGAUGUGAAAUCCCCGGGCUUAACCUGGGAAUGGCAUUGGUGACUGCACGGCUAGAGUGUGUCAGAGGGGGGUAGAAUUCCACGUGUAGCAGUGAAAUGCGUAGAGAUGUGGAGGAAUACCGAUGGCGAAGGCAGCCCCCUGGGAUAACACUGACGCUCAUGCACGAAAGCGUGGGGAGCAAACAGG